rnacentral:rRNA from 1 species
UACGUAGGUGGCAAGCGUUGUCCGGAAUUAUUGGGCGUAAAGCGCGCGCAGGCGGUCCUUUAAGUCUGAUGUGAAAGCCCUCGGCUCAACCGAGGAAGGGCAUCCGAAACUGGCGUGCUUGAGUAUGGAAGAGGGUCUCGGAAUUCCCGGUGUAGAGGUGAAAUUCGUAGAUAUCGGGAGGAACACCAGUGGCGAAGGCGGAGACCUGGGCCAAUACUGACGCUGAGGUGCGAAAGCGUGGGGAGCAAACAGG